rnacentral:rRNA from 1 species
AACAGGAUUAGAUACCCUGGUAGUCCACGCCGUAAACUAUGGAUGCUAGCUGUUAGAGGUGUCGACCCCUCUAGUAGCGAAGCUAACGCGUUAAGCAUCCCGCCUGUGGAGUACGGUCGCAAGACUAAAACAUAAAGGAAUUGACGGGGACCCGCACAAGCGGUGGAGCGUGUUGUUUAAUUCGAUGGUAAGCGAAGAACCUUACCCAGGCUUGACAUCCUUGGAAUUUCUCCGAAAGGAGAGAGUGCCUUUGGAACCAAGUGACAGGUGUUGCAUGGCCGUCGUCAGCUCGUGUCGUGAGAUGUUUGGUUAAGUCCAUCAACGAGCGCAACCCUUGUGAUUAGUUGAAUUUUUCUAAUCAGACUGCCCUGGCAACAGGGAGGAAGGGGGGGAUGAUGUCAGGUCAGUAUUACCCUUACGUCUGGGGCUACAAACACGCUACAAUGGCCGGUACAAAGGGCUGCCAAGUCGCAAGACGGAGCAAAUCCCAUCAAAGCCGGUCUCAGUUCGGAUUGCAGGCUGAAACUCGCCUGCAUGAAGCUGGAAUCGCUAGUAACGGUAGGUCAGCACACUACCGUGAAUACGUUCCCGGGUCUUGUACACACCGCCCGUCAAACCAUGAAAGUCGCCAAUACCUGACGUGUUGCCCUCGUGCAGCCCUAAGGUAGGGGAGAUGAUUGGGGUUAAGUCGUAACAAGGUAACC